rnacentral:rRNA from 1 species
AGCGAACGCUGGCGGCAGGCUUAACACAUGCAAGUCGAGCGGGCCCUUCGGGGUCAGCGGCGGACGGGUGAGUAACGCGUGGGAACGUGCCUUCUGGUUCGGAAUAACCCUGGGAAACUAGGGCUAAUACCGGAUACGCCCUUUUGGGGAAAGGUUUACUGCCGGAAGAUCGGCCCGCGUCUGAUUAGCUAGUUGGUGGGGUAACGGCCUACCAAGGCGACGAUCAGUAGCUGGUCUGAGAGGAUGAUCAGCCACACUGGGACUGAGACACGGCCCAGACUCCUACGGGAGGCAGCAGUGGGGAAUAUUGGACAAUGGGCGCAAGCCUGAUCCAGCCAUGCCGCGUGAGUGAUGAAGGCCUUAGGGUUGUAAAGCUCUUUUAUCCGGGACGAUAAUGACGGUACCGGAGGAAUAAGCCCCGGCUAACUUCGUGCCAGCCGCCGCUGUAAGAC